UACGUAGGUGGCAAGCGUUGUCCGGAUUUAUUGGGCGUAAAGCGCGCGCAGGUGGUGCGGUAAGUCUGCCGUGAAAUCUCCCGGCUCAACCGGGAGGGUGCGGUGGAGACUGCCGGACUAGAGGUACCUAGAGGCCGGUGGAAUUCCCGGUGUAGUGGUGAAAUGCGUAGAGAUCGGGAGGAACACCAGUGGCGAAGGCGGCCGGCUGGGGGUGACCUGACGCUGAGGCGCGAAAGCGUGGGGAGCGAACCG
rnacentral:rRNA from 1 species